AGCUCCAAUAGCGUAUAUUUAAGUUGUCGGGCAGGGGAUACCCAUCGUUUACUGUGAAAAAAUUAGAGUGUUUAAAGCAGGCUUAUGCCGUUGAAUAUAUUAGCAUGGAAUAAUAAGAUAGGACUUCGGAACUAUUUUGUUGGUUUGCGUUACGAAGUAAUGAUUAAUAGGGACAGUUGGGGGUAUUCGUAUUUCGUUGUCAGAGGUGAAAUUCUUGGAUUUCCGAAAGACGAACUACUGCGAAAGCAUUUACCAAGGAUGUUUUCAUUA
rnacentral:rRNA from 1 species